UUGUUUCCACAGAUAAUAUAUAUAUAUCCUCUUCGAUCGAUCUUGAUAUGAUUGAUCCAUACUAUAUCUCAUUAUCCAUUCAUAGAUGAGGAAGAAUUAAUCCCUUUCCUAAUCGAUCUCCCUCUAGCUCCAUUCUCCAUAUAUACUAUCCAUUCUUCUGGUAGUGUAUGCACCAUAUAUAUGCAUCGAUCUCACAAAUUGGCACAAAUUGGCGAGGAUGAGAGGCAUGGAUCGAUGCAUAUAUGGAGCUAGUAGCAAACAGUCGGUGCUUGCAGGUGCAGCACCAUCAAGAUUCACAUCGAGUUCAUCCCUAAACGAGAUCGAGGUUGGCUGACUAUAUGUGAUGAGAAUCUUGAUGAUGCUGCAUCAGCAAACGCUCGACUACUCGUCUCGAUCCAUGGCCUGCUUUGAUUAUUGGAGACUAGAAAUUAAUCUUCAGGUACAGUUCCUAUAGCUAGCUUUCCCCUUCCUAUAUAUUUGAGCUUGGCUAAUUGUUUCAGCUUAAACUCCUUUCUUCUAAGCACAUUUUCUUUUCUUUCUUCUUCAAAUAUAUAUAUGUGGAAUCCUCAAUUAGCACUACUCCUUUACGGAGUAUUUAAGAA
rnacentral:precursor_RNA from 1 species